rnacentral:rRNA from 1 species
UACGUAGGGUGCGAGCGUUAAUCGGAAUUACUGGGCGUAAAGCGUGCGCAGGCGGUGAUGUAAGACAGUUGUGAAAUCCCCGGGCUCGACCUGGGAAUUGCAUCUGUGACUGCAUCGCUAGAGUACGGUAGAGGGGGAUGGAAUUCCGCGUGUAGCAGUGAAAUGCGUAGAUAUGCGGAGGAACACCGAUGGCGAAGGCAAUCCCCUGGACCUGUACUGACGCUCAUGCACGAAAGCGUGGGGAGCAAACAGG